GACGAACGCUGGCGGCGUGCUUAACACAUGCAAGUCGAGCGGAAAGGCCCCUUCGGUGGUGCUCGCGCGGCGGACGAACGAGUAAGACAUACGUAAUUUGCCCCCCCCUUUGGGUUAGCCAACGGCAACGGUGUUUAGUACCGGAUAUGUCCAUAUGUCGCCUGCCGGGUGGUGGAAAGUUUUUCGGUGAGGGAUGGGCUCGCGGCCUAUCAGCUUGAUGGUGGGGUAAUGGCUUACCAUGGCUUCGACGGGUAGCCGGCCUGAGAGGGUGACCGGUCACACUGGGACUGAGACACGGCCCAGACUCCUACGGGAGGCAGCAGUGGGGAAUAUUGGACAAUGGGCGGAAGCCUGAUGCAGCAACGCCGCGUGAGGGAUGACGGCCUUCGGGUUGUAAACCUCUUUCAGUAGCGACGAAGCGCAAGUGACGGUAGGUAGAGAAGAAGCACCGGCUAACUACGUG
rnacentral:rRNA from 1 species